AGGAACUUCCGGGCUCCAUAGAGCACGAUGGCGGAUAACGUCCGCCCAGGGUGACCUGAGAGAUAGCGCAACAGAGAACAGACCGCCCGUCCUCGACGGGUAAGGGUGAAACGGCGGUGUAAGAGACCACCGGGCCUCUGGUAACAGUAGGUCGCAUGGCAAGCCUCAUCGGGAGCAAGGCCAAGCAGAUGGCGGUAAGGGCUGCUCGCCCGUGUCAUCGGGUAGGCUGCUAGAGCCUGGCGGUAACGUCAGGUCGAGAUGGAUGGCCAUCCGUGCCGUGCGUUCGCGCACGGCACGACAGAACCCGGGGUAU
rnacentral:RNase_P_RNA from 1 species